rnacentral:rRNA from 1 species
CCUACGGGAGGCUGCAGUGGGGGAUAUUGCACAAUGGAGGGAACCCUGAUGCAGCGACGCCGCGUGGGUGAAGAAGCGCCUCGGCGCGUAAAGCCCUGUCAGCAGGGAAGAAAAUGACGGUACCUGAAGAAGAAGCCCCGGCUAACUACGUGCCAGCAGCCGCGGUAAUACGUAGGGGGCAAGCGUUAUCCGGAUUUACUGGGUGGAAAGGGGGCGCAGACGGCGAGGCAAGUCAGAAGUGAAAGCCCGGGGCCCAACCCCGGGACUGCUCUUGAAACUGCGUGGCUGGAGUGCAGGAGAGGCAGGCGGAAUUCCUGGUGUAGCGGUGAAAUGCGUAGAUAGCAGGAGGAACACCGGUGGCGAAGGCGGCCUGCUGGACUGCAACUGACGUUGAGGCCCGAAAGCGUGGGGAGCAAACAGGAUUAGAUACCCGUGUAGUC